rnacentral:rRNA from 1 species
ACGUACACUCCUACGGGAGGCAGCAGUGGGGAAUAUUGGACAAUGGGCGCAAGCCUGAUCCAGCCAUGCCGCGUGAGUGAUGAAGGCCCUAGGGUUGUAAAGCUCUUUCACCGGUGAAGAUAAUGACGGUAACCGGAGAAGAAGCCCCGGCUAACUUCGUGCCAGCAGCCGCGGUAAUACGAAGGGGGCUAGCGUUGUUCGGAUUUACUGGGCGUAAAGCGCACGUAGGCGGACUAUUAAGUCAGGGGUGAAAUCCCGGGGCUCAACCCCGGAACUGCCUUUGAUACUGGUAGUCUUGAGUUCGAGAGAGGUGGGUGGAAUUCCGAGUGUAGAGGUGAAAUUCGUAGAUAUUCGGAGGAACACCAGUGGCGAAGGCGGCUCACUGGCUCGAUACUGACGCUGAGGUGCGAAAGCGUGGGGAGCAAACAGGAUUAGAUACCCUUGUAGUCCCAUGAU